AUUGAACGCUGGCGGCAUGCUUUACACAUGCAAGUCGAACGGCAGCGCGGGCUUUGGCCUGGCGGCGAGUGGCGAACGGGUGAGUAAUACAUCGGAACGUGCCCAGUAGUGGGGGAUAGCUCGGCGAAAGCCGGAUUAAUACCGCAUACGACCUGAGGGUGAAAGCGGGGGAUCUUCGGACCUCGCGCUAUUGGAGCGGCCGAUGGCAGAUUGGCUAGUUGGUGGGGUAAAGGCCUACCAAGGCGACGAUCUGUAGCUGGUCUGAGAGGACGACCAGCCACACUGGGACUGAGACACGGCCCAGACUCCUACGGGAGGCAGCAGUGGGGAAUUUUGGACAAUGGGCGAAAGCCUGAUCCAGCAAUGCCGCGUGUGUGAUGAAGGCCUUCGGGUUGUAAAGCACUUUUGGCGGGAACGAAAAGGACUGUGCCAAUACCACGGUUCGAUGACGGUACCCGCAGAAUAAGCACCGGCUAACUACGUG
rnacentral:rRNA from 1 species